UCUGUACAUAUGUGUAAAUAUCUGUACAAAUAAUAUAAAAUAUUCACUGUUUAUAUAUAUAUUAUAUAAUUUUUAUAGUAUGUUAUAAUAUUGUCAUGCCCCGGAUUAUUCGUUUUUCCAAGCACACCGACAAAUCUGCUGUAUAUAAAAGAAUUUUCUCUGUAUACGAAGCGAUAGCUGUAUCUGUACCUGUAAUCAGACAACACUACAACCAGUAGUAUAGAUGUCACGCCCCGAGACCGCUAUCAAUUUGGUCCGGUUCCGGCACGUCGAUCAGACGCCGAACGGACAGCACCUCCCCUGUCCGCCCAAGGCUAAACCAACAUAAUCAUGUAUAAGAAUUUGCCCAGGAUAAAUUCAAACAUAUAC
rnacentral:lncRNA from 1 species